rnacentral:lncRNA from 1 species
CUUAAAUUCAGUGGCCCUACACAUAGAUUUGGCUGUUCAUGGUGCUGUAUGGAGAGAGUUGCAGCCAGUUAGCAGAGGAGCUGACUAUCCAGCCUGGAUAUUUGUUGCUAAGUUCAUGGGGAUGGACGAGACAAUGGAGUCACUAAUGAAGCUGUAGGUCACUUUUGAGGGCUCCUCUGAUGGGUCUCCAUGGGGACAUGGACAAUGGUUGUGCUGGCACAGGAGAGAAUCAACAGAAGAAGGACAAGGACAAAUGUCUGCGUUCAAACUCAGUCACCCAAGAGGAGAUAAUGUGAUGAGCUCAAGAAGAGGUCCCUUGCACCCUCAGCAAGAACAGAGCUGGGAUGAUGUCCUUAUUCACCUUUUGUAUGUGAGGUACACAAAUAUACUCUGUACUUGCCAAGACGAACUAAGGUGUGAAGCACUGUGUGCAAUGGAUAAAACAUCCCAACCUACGAGCAGGAACCUUGUGGAUUGACUUUAGACCUAUUUUACAAUCACUAUAGUAAAUUUAGCAUCCUGGCCCCUAAACUCCUUUCCAAGGUGAGUUACCCCCAAGCUGGGUAUCUCACCUUGCUCACAUGCAACACCCAAGGCUCUCAGUGCAUAACACUUUCCAGCUGCUACAGCAAUACAAAUAGCCACUAAGAACAUCCAACCUCAUUAAUCACCUUCCCUCAGACUAAUUUUAUAAUUAGUAUGCAAGAGGCACACACCAACUUAAUGAAAUUAGCAGUAAUUAGUGGCCCUGACACACACGUAGAGCCAGUACAGGGACCAGCUGGAGUGUGGGGUGUGCAGGUCCUGUGGACCUCGUGCCCAUGGCUCAGCACCCAGCAACACCUUGGGGCAUUGAGGGUGCUGACUCUGAUCUCUCAUCCUGGAGAUCAGCUGGUGUGUUGACUCAGUGCCGAACAGCAGAACGAAGUACAUUUGUUAAAAUAUUGCAGUAUUGUAGAAGCCUGGGGACAAAUCCAACUUCUCAGAGAUGUGCGUGUGAGACAGUGUCGUCCCCCAAGGAAACCUUUGAACAAGAUCAAGGGCUCUCAAAAGAUGCAACACCUGGGUCAGGCAUCCCAAACCCUUCCCACCGACCUCAUGCAGCAGAAAUUAUCUCCUUCCACAGCCCAGACUCCCUGAGGUCCACUAUAAGCAUAAGUCCUGGGCAUUUAGGUUGCAAACAAUUGCCCACAUGAAACAAGAGCCUCCAUUGAGAAUUAAAGGUAAAGCUAAUAAUUUUGUCUUUGCUUUUCCUCACCAAACACCUCACAGAAUUGUGUGCUAAUUAAAACAACUGGAAAGUAAGAAAAAUGAGCUGAGUUACUGAAAAAUAAGGAGGAUUUCAGAUUGUAAGGAGGACUGCUGGCUGUUGUCUACAAU